rnacentral:rRNA from 1 species
UACAGAGGGUGCAAGCGUUACUCGGAAUUACUGGGCGUAAAGCGUGCGCAGACGGUUUCGUAAGUCGGGUGUGAAAUCCCCGGGCUCAACCUGGGAAUUGCAUUCGAAACUGCGAGGCUAGGGUACGGAAGAGGGAAGCGGAAUUUCUGGUGUAGCGGUGAAAUGCGUAGAUAUCUGGAGGAACACCGGUGGCGAAGGCGGCAUCCUGGACCGGCAUUGACGCUGAGGCGCGAAAGCCAGGGGAGCAAACGGG